GGUCGUGUGGUCUAGUGGUUAUGACAUCUGCUUUACAACCUGGUAACAGGAAAUAUUCGCAGAGGAUCGCAGGUUCGAUCCCUGCCACGAUCA